CUACGUGCCAGCAGCCGCGGUAAUACGGAAGGUCCGGGCGUUAUCCGGAUUUAUUGGGUUUAAAGGGAGCGUAGGCUGGAGAUUAAGUGUGUUGUGAAAUGUAGACGCUCAACGUCUGACUUGCAGCGCAUACUGGUUUCCUUGAGUACGCACAACGUUGGCGGAAUUCGUCGUGUAGCGGUGAAAUGCUUAGAUAUGACGAAGAACUCCGAUUGCGAAGGCAGCUGACGGGAGCGCAACUGACGCUGAAGCUCGAAGGUGCGGGUAUCGAACAGGAUUAGAUACCCUGGUAGUCCGCACAGUAAACGAUGGAUGCCCGCUGUUGGUACCUGGUAUCAGCGGCUAAGCGAAAGCAUUAAGCAUCCCACCUGGGGAGUACGCCGGCAACGGUGAAACUCAAAGGAAUUGACGGGGGCCCGCACAAGCGGAGGAACAUGUGGUUUAAUUCGAUGAUACGCGAGGAACCUUACCCGGGCUUGAAUUGCAGAGGAAGGAUUUAGAGAUAAGACG
rnacentral:rRNA from 1 species